CCUACGGGAGGCAGCAGUGAGGAAUAUUGGUCAAUGGACGAGAGUCUGAACCAGCCAAGUAGCGUGAAGGAUGACUGCCCUCUGGGUUGUAAACUUCUUUUAUAUGGGAAUAAAACGUUCCACGUGUGGGAUUUUGUAUGUACCAUAUGAAUAAGGAUCGGCUAACUCCGUGCCAGCAGCCGCGGUAAUACGGAGGAUCCGAGCGUUAUCCGGAUUUAUUGGGUUUAAAGGGAGCGUAGGUGGAUUGUUAAGUCAGGUGUGAAAGUUUGCGGCUCAACCGUAAAAUUGCAGUUGAAACUGGCAGUCUUGAGUACAGUAGAGGUGGGCGGAAUUCGUGGUGUAGCGGUGAAAUGCUUAGAUAUCACGAAGAACUCCGAUUGCGAAGGCAGUUCACUGGACUGCAACUGACACUGAGGCUCGAAAGUGUGGGUAUCAAACAGGAUUAGAUACCCGUGUAGUC
rnacentral:rRNA from 1 species